CCUACGGGUGGCAGCAGUGGGGAAUAUUGGACAAUGGGGGGAACCCUGAUCCAGCCAUGCCGCGUGUGUGAAGAAGGCCCUCGGGUUGUAAAGCACUUUCAGUGAGGAAGAACGCCUGGUGGUUAAUACCCAUCAGGAAAGACAUCACUCACAGAAGAAGCACCGGCUAACUCCGUGCCAGCAGCCGCGGUAAUACGGAGGGUGCGAGCGUUAAUCGGAAUUACUGGGCGUAAAGCGCGCGUAGGUGGCUUGAUAAGCCGGUUGUGAAAGCCCCGGGCUCAACCUGGGAACGACAUCCGGAACUGUCAAGCUAGAGUGCAGGAGAGGAAGGUAGAAUUCCCGGUGUAGCGGUGAAAUGCGUAGAGAUCGGGAGGAAUACCAGUGGCGAAGGCGGCCUUCUGGACUGACACUGACACUGAGGUGCGAAAGCGUGGGUAGCAAACAGGAUUAGAUACCCCAGUAGUC
rnacentral:rRNA from 1 species